rnacentral:ncRNA from 2 species
AGAGAUCUUCAGGGCAGGGUGAUCUGAACAGAAUGAACUUCGAGUCAGAGAGUCCCGACCGGCGGUAAAGCCCGCGAGCGUGAAAGCGUUGAUUUGGUGAUUCUGAUCAGCAGAAGAUUCCAAAGCCGACAGUAUAGUCUGGAUGAAAGAAGAACAAG